rnacentral:tRNA from 1 species
GCCGAAGUGGCGGAACGGUAGACGCAGCGGAUUCAAAAUCCGCCGUACGAAAGUACGUGAGGGUUCGAGUCCCUCCUUCGGUA